AUUGAACGCUGGCGGCAUGCUUUACACAUGCAAGUCGAACGGUGACAGGUUAAGCUGACGAGUGGCGAACGGGUGAGUAAUGCAUCGGAACGUGCCCGGUCGUGGGGGAUAACGCAGCGAAGGCUGCGCUAAUACCGCAUACGAUCUGAGGAUGAAAGCGGGGGACCGUAAGGCCUCGCGCGAUCGGAGCGGCCGAUGUCAGAUUAGGUAGUUGGUGGGGUAAAGGCUCACCAAGCCAACGAUCUGUAGCUGGUCUGCGAGGACGACCAGCAACACUGGACCUGAGACACGGCCCAGACUCUUACGGGAGGCAGCAGUGGGGAAUUUUGGACAAUGGGCGAAAGCCUGAUUCAGCAAUGCCGCGUGCAGGAAGAAGGCCUUCGGGUUGUAAACUGCUUUUGUACGGAGCGAAAAGGUCUCCUCUAAUACAGGGGGCUCAUGACGGUACCGUGAGAAUAAGCACCGGCUAACUACGUGCCAGCAGCCGCGGUAA
rnacentral:rRNA from 1 species